AAGGCUAGCGGCAGGCCUAACACAUGCAAGUCGAGGGGUAGAGGAAGCUUGCUUCCUUGAGACCGGCGCACGGGUGCGUAACGCGUAUGCAAUCUGCCUUGUACUGAGGGAUAGCCCAGAGAAAUUUGGAUUAAUACCUCAUAGCAUUAUGAAAUCGCAUGGUUUUAUAAUUAAAGUUCCAACGGUACAAGAUGAGCAUGCGUCCCAUUAGUUAGUUGGUAAGGUAACGGCUUACCAAGACGAUGAUGGGUAGGGGUCCUGAGAGGGAGAUCCCCCACACUGGUACUGAGACACGGACCAGACUCCUACGGGAGGCAGCAGUGAGGAAUAUUGGUCAAUGGACGCAAGUCUGAACCAGCCAUGCCGCGUGCAGGAUGAAGCAUCUAUGGUGUGUAAACUGCUUUUGUACGGGAAGAAACACUCCUACGUGUAGGAGCUUGACGGUACCGUAAGAAUAAGGAUCGGCUAACUCCGUGCCAGCAGCCGCGGUAAUACGGAGGAUCCAAGCGUUAUCCGGAAUCAUUGGGUUUAAAGGGUCCGUAGGCGGCUUUAUAAGUCAGUGGUGAAAGCCCAUCGCUUAACGAUGGAACGGCCAUUGAUACUGUAGAGCUUGAAUUACUUGGAAGUAACUAGAAUAUGUAGUGUAGCGGUGAAAUGCUUAGAUAUUACAUGGAAUACCAAUUGCGGAGGCAGGUUACUACAAGUGGAUUGACGCUGAUGGACGAAAGCGUGGGGAGCGAACAGGAUUAGAUACCCUGGUAGUCCACGCCGUAAACGAUGGAUACUAGCUGUUCGGAGCAAUCUGAGUGGCUAAGCGAAAGUGAUAAGUAUCCCACCCUGGGGAGUACGCACGCAAGUGUGAAACUCAAAUGAAUUGACGGAAGGGCGAAUUCUGC
rnacentral:rRNA from 1 species